rnacentral:rRNA from 1 species
UACGGAGGGGGCUAGCGUUGUUCGGAAUUACUGGGCGUAAAGGGCGCGUAGGCGGCGCGAUAAGUUGGGCGUGAAAGGCCCGGGCUCAACCCGGGGACUGCGCUUGAUACUGUCGCGCUGUGAGUCCGGGAGAGGAUGGCGGAAUUCCCAGUGUAGAGGUGAAAUUCGUAGAUAUUGGGAAGAACACCGGUGGCGAAGGCGGUUCUCUGGGCCUUACCUGACGCUGAGGAGCGAAAGCAUGGGGAGCGAACAGG